rnacentral:rRNA from 1 species
UACGUAGGGGGCAAGCGUUGUCCGGAUUUAUUGGGCGUAAAGAGCUCGUAGGUGGUUCGGUAAGUCGGAUGUGAAAUCUCCAGGCUCAACCUGGAGGGGUCAUUCGAUACUGCCGUGACUAGAGUUCGGUAGGGGAGUGUGGAAUUCCUGGUGGAGCGGUGAAAUGCGCAGAUAUCAGGAGGAACACCAAUGGCGAAGGCAGAUCUCUGGGCCGUAACUGACGCUGAGGAGCGAAAGCAUGGGGAGCGAACAGG